rnacentral:rRNA from 1 species
AAAGGAAUUGACGGGGGCCCGCACAAGCAGUGGAGUAUGUGGAUUAAUUCGAAGCAACGCGAAGAACCUUACCAGGGCUUGACAUACAGGUGAAUAUGUCAGAGAUGAUAUAGCUUUUCGGAGCACCUGAACAGGUGGUGCAUGGUUGUCGUCAGCUCGUGUCGUGAGAUGUUGGGUUAAGUCCCGCAACGAGCGCAACCCCUGUUGUUAGUUGCCAUCAUUAAGUUGGGCACUCUAACGAGACUGCCGGUGACAAAUCGGAGGAAGGUGGGGACGACGUCAAAUCAUCAUGCCCCUUAUGUCCUGGGCCUCACACGUACUACAAUGGCUAUAACAGCAGGCAGCGAAGGAGCAAUCCGGAGCAAAUCCUAAAAAAAUAGUCUCAGUUCGGAUUGUGGGCUGCAACUCGCCCGCAUGAAGCAGGAAUUGCUAGUAAUGGCAGGUCAGCAUACUGCCGUGAAUACGUUCCCGGGCCUUGUACACACCGCCCGU